UACGUAGGGGGCAAGCGUUAUCCGGAUUUACUGGGUGUAAAGGGAGCGCAGGCGGCGCGGCAAGUCUGAUGUGAAAGCCCGAGGCCCAACCACGGGACUGCUCUGGAAACUGCGGGGCUGGAGUGCAGGAGGGGUAAGCGGAAUUCCUAGUGUAGCGGUGAAAUGCGUAGAUAUUAGGAGGAACACCGGUGGCGAAGGCGGCUUACUGGACUGUAACUGACGUUGAGGCUCGAAGGCGUGGGGAGCAAACAGG
rnacentral:rRNA from 1 species